rnacentral:rRNA from 1 species
AUGAACGCUGGCGGCGUGCCUAAUACAUGCAAGUCGAGCGAACGGACGAGAAGCUUGCUUUUCUGAUGUUAGCGGCGGACGGGUGAGUAACACGUGGAUAACCUACCUAUAAGACUGGGAUAACUUCGGGAAACCGGAGCUAAUACCGGAUAAUAUUUUGAACCGCAUGGUUCAAAAGUGAAAGACGGUCUUGCUGUCACUUAUAGAUGGAUCCGCGCUGCAUUAGCUAGUUGGUAAGGUAACGGCUUACCAAGGCAACAAUGCAUAGCCGACCUGAGAGGGUGAUCGGCCACACUGGAACUGAGACACGGUCCAGACUCCUACGGGAGGCAGCAGUAGGGAAUCUUCCGCAAUGGGCGAAAGCCUGACGGAGCAACGCCGCGUGAGUGAUGAAGGUCUUCGGAUCGUAAAACUCUGUUAUUAGGGAAGAACAUAUGUGUAAGUAACUGUGCACAUCUUGACGGUACCUAAUCAGAAAGCCACGGCUAACUACGUG